rnacentral:misc_RNA from 1 species
GAACGCACAUUGCGCCCGGCAGUAAUCUGCCGGGCAUGCCUGUCCGAGCGUCAUUUCUGCCCUCGAGCCGGUCCAGCAUCUAGGUGCUGCUCCGGCCCGGCGUUGGGGCACUACGGGAAGCCUCGUGCUAUCCCCCGUAGGCCCCGAAAUGAAGUGGCGGUCCUGCCGCGGCUCCCCCUGCGUAGUAUUACAGCUCGCUUCGGGACCCGGUGGAGGCCUGCCGUCAAACCUUACUCUCUAAGUUUGACCUCGGAUCAGGUAGGGUUACCCGCUGAACUUAAGC